UUUCCGUAGGUGAACCUGCGGAAGGAUCAUUAAAUAGUACCACAGAUUACAUAUGCAAAUAUGAAAAUCUACUACUAUAUACCAUUCCGAGUACUCUUUUUCCAUGUUGCUUCCGCGAGGCAGUCACUUCAAGUGGCCGUUUGCUCCGGAUUUCCCUUCUUGGAGAGCCGGCUGUGGGCGAGAUUUUCUUGCGAAAGGUCAAUUACAAAUCCAAUUAUGUUUUUAUUUUGUGUCUGAAUAGAUUUUUUUUUUCUUUCUUUUUUUAAUUAAUAAAUACAAAAAAAAUAAAAUAAAAUACAAAACUUUCAACAACGGAUCUCUUGGUUCUC
rnacentral:misc_RNA from 1 species